rnacentral:rRNA from 1 species
UCAUGGCUCAGAGUGAACGCUGGCGGCAGGCCUAACACAUGCAAGUCGAGCGGCAGCGCGGGGCAACCUGGCGGCGAGCGGCGGACGGGUGAGGAAUGCGUCGAAUCUGCCUUUUUGNGGGGGAUAACGUAGGGAAACUUACGCUAAUACCGCAUACGACCUACGGGUGAAAGUGGGGGACCGCAAGGCCUCACGCAGAAAGAUGAGCCGACGCCGAUUAGCUAGUUGGUGAGGUAAAGGCUCACCAAGGCGACGAUCGGUAGCUGGUCUGAGAGGAUGAUCAGCCACACUGGGACUGAGACACGGCCCAGACUCCUACGGGAGGCAGCAGUGGGGAAUAUUGGACAAUGGGCGCAAGCCUGAUCCAGCCAUGCCGCGUGUGUGAAGAAGGCCUUCGGGUUGUAAAGCACUUUUGUCCGGAAAGAAAUCCCAAAGGUUAAUACCUUUUGGGGAUGACGGUACCGGAAGAAUAAGCACCGGCUAACUUCGUG